rnacentral:rRNA from 1 species
UACAGAGGUCCCAAGCGUUGUUCGGAUUCACUGGGCGUAAAGGGUGCGUAGGCGGUCGGGUAAGUCUGAUGUGAAAUCUCACAGCUUAACUGUGAAACUGCAUUGGAUACUAUCCGGCUCGAGGAAUGGAGGGGAGACUGGAAUACUUGGUGUAGCAGUGAAAUGCGUAGAUAUCAAGUGGAACACCAGUGGCGAAGGCGAGUCUCUGGACAUUUCCUGACGCUGAGGCACGAAAGCCGGGGGAGCAAACGGG